rnacentral:rRNA from 1 species
AGGACGAACGCUGGCGGCGUGCUUAACACAUGCAAGUCGAACGAGAUCCAUUCAGUAGCAAUACUGAUGAAGAUCUAGUGGCGAACGGGUGCGUAACACGUGAGGAACUUGUCCCGGUCUCUAGGGAUAACAGUUGGAAACGACUGCUGAUACCGGAUGACGUCGGAACUUCGCAUGGAGUACUGACGAAAGGGUUACUGGAUCGGGAGAGCCUCGCGGCCUAUCAGCUU